UUUGAUCUUGGUUCAGAUUGAAUGCUGACGGCGUGGAUGAGGCAUGCAAGUCGAACGAGGUAGCUCGCUACCUAGUGGCGGAAGGGUUAGUAAUACAUGAACAACCUACCUUUUACUUUGGGAUAACGUCUGGUAACGGGCGCUAAUACCGGAUGAAGUUAUUUUAUGGCAUCAUAGAAUAAUAAAAGCGGGGGACCUUCGGGCCUCGCGGUAGAAGAGGGGUUCAUGGGAUAUCAGCUAGUUGGUAAGGUAAAAGCUUACCAAGGCAAAGACGUCUAGGCGGAUUGAGAGAUUGACCGCCAACACUGGGACUGAGACACUGCCCAGACUCCUACGGGAGGCUGCAGUCGAGAAUCUUUCGCAAUGGGCGAAAGCCUGACGAAGCGACGCCGUGUGAACGAAGAAGGCCUUCGGGUUGUAAAGUUCUUUCGCUUGGGAACAAGAGAUGUACAAUAAUAUUGUACAGAUUUGAGGGUACCAGGUAAAGAAGCACCGGCUAACUCCGUGCCAGCAGCUGCGGUAAUACGGAGGGUGCAAGCAUCAAUCGGAAUUAUUGGGCGUAAAGGGCGUGUAGGCGGCUAUUAAAGUUAAGUGUGAAAUUUCAGGGCUUAACCCUGAAACGGCAUUUAAAACUAACUAGCUAGAGUGUAGGCGGAGAAAAUGGAAUUUCACAUGUAGCGGUGAAAUGCGUAGAUAUGUGAAGGAACACCGGUGGCGAAAGCGGUUUUCUAGCUUACAACUGACGCUGAGGCGCGAAAGCAAGGGGAGCAAACAGGAUUAGAUACCCUGGUAGUCCUUGCCGUAAACGAUGCAUACUUGGUGUAGCAUUUUAUAAUGUUGUGCCGGAGCUAACGUGAUAAGUAUGCCGCCUGAGGAGUACAUUCGCAAGGAUGAAACUCAAAAGAAUUGACGGGGACCCGCACAAGCAGUGGAGCAUGUGGUUUAAUUCGAUGCAACGCGUAGAACCUUACCCAGACUUGACAUGCAGAGGAAUAUAGUAGAAAUAUUAUAGCUUUUCGGAGCCUCUGUGCAGGUGCUGCAUGGCUGUCGUCAGCUCGUGCCGUGAGGUGUUGGGUUAAGUCCCGCAACGAGCGCAACCCUUAUCAUUAGUUGCCAACAUUUAAGGUGGGGACUCUAAUGAGACUGCCUGGGUUAACCAGGAGGAAGGUGAGGAUGACGUCAAGUCCGCAUGGCCCUUAUGUCUGGGGCUACACACGUGCUACAAUGGCUAAUACAGAAGGAAGCAAAGCCGAGAGGUGGAGCAAAACCUAGAAAGUUAGUCUCAGUUCGGAUUGUAGUCUGCAACUCGACUACAUGAAGUUGGAAUUGCUAGUAAUGGCGCGUCAGCUACAGCGCCGUGAAUACGUUCUCGGGUCUUGUACACACCGCCCGUCACAUCAUGGGAGUUUGUUUUGCCCGAAGGUAUUGACUCAACCUGCAAAGGGGAGAGGUAACU
rnacentral:rRNA from 1 species